GUCUGCGGCCACGCCACCCUGAAUGUGCCCGAUCCCGUCUGAUCUCGGAAGCUAAGCAGGGUUGGGCCUGGUUAGUACUUGGAUGGGAGACCACCUACGAAGACCAGGUGCUGUAGGCA
rnacentral:rRNA from 1 species